CUUUCCUUUUCUCUUCCGCGAAGGGGUAUAGCUGAAUAUAAAUAUUCCAGCCCAGAUGGCUUAAGAUCGCAAUCCUUUUUCUAAUUUCUUCGUCUGCAACUUUUUAUCAGGAUGAAUACACGAACUGCUCUCCCAGUUUCAUUCGUGGACGGUCGCUCGAGACCUCGUCGUUUCCCUGAUGGUCCUUUUUCUUCACUAGUGUUGUCCUGGGGGGAGGCUUCGGCGAUGGGCGAUCAGACAGUUCCGAAGGCUCCAAUGAAAAGGCGACGAUCUCGAUGGUUUAUUAUCGAGGAGGAGGACGAUGAGGGUUCUAGUUCUGAGAUCCGUGACGAAGAGUUGGGAGAGAUCUGGGGGUUGUUUUAUAAUACAACUAAAUAAUAUUUUCUAAAAAUUGUAUGCAAAUUUUAAAAAUUAAAAAAAUAUAUUUUGAAAUGAAUUAUUUCAGAUAAUAAAUUUAUUGUACCGAUAUUGAAAUUAUAUAAGUAAGUAAU
rnacentral:lncRNA from 1 species